rfam:Triticum urartu cultivar G1812 contig259539, whole genome shotgun sequence.
AUUCUACUCCCUCUGUUGCGCAAUACAUGCCUUUGAUUUGUCAAAAAAUAUAUGUAUCUAGACAUGUUUUAGUAUAUAGGUACAUCCAUUUUUGGACAAAUGGAAGUCAAGUAUUUUGGAACGGAGGGAGUACACA